ensembl:lncRNA novel transcript, antisense to GRM8
AGACCAGAAAUACAAGCAAGAAUAAGAAAGACACAAAUAUUUUAGAACUAAAUGAGAGGCUGUUUUCUGCAUUCCUUGGCUCAUGGCCCCUUCCAUCUUCAAAGCCAGCAAUGACAAGUUGAGUCUUUCUCAGGUCGCACUACUGACUCUUCUGCCUCCCUCUUCCAUAUCUGAGACACAACCGGAUAAUUUAGGAUAACCUCCUUAUUUUAAGAGAGACCUGUGUGGUUCGAUGCAUUCUCUGACGUUAUUCUGAGAAGAAACAAUUAAAUGCAUACUGGAAGACAUUUUGCUCUUCUACAUGUUGGAAAUUCGGUGUCACCAAUGCACAGCUGCAGAAUGCACAGUUCUAUUGUUUUCUUUCUCAUCACAGAUCUGACCCCUCACCAUCUUCCCCCGCCCUUGAGCCUGAUCCUUUUCUGACUUUGAGCCUGGCACCUUGCUGGUGCCGGCAGGCAUCAUGAAGGCAUGGGCUGGGAGCCAGACUCAGCCUUGCAAAGGAGGCUCAGGGAAGCCGACUGACAUGGGCUCAAUAAUUAGUUCAAUGCCGGACACAAUGCUCAAUAAGGAGCUGCUGGGUUAAUGGAUGUGUGUGCUAGCUAGCUGUAGUAAACAAUUCAAGUUGAUAACAUGGGGCUGAUUGUCUGAACAGUACAAAAGAAAAUGGAGGACUGACCAGCUCUUUGGUCCUCCAAGGUCAAUACAACAUUUAAAGCCUUCUUAUAGAGAUAUACAAGUUUUGUUCAUUUUUAAUAUUCAUGUCAAUAAUUUAAGCAAUGUGAAAACUUAAACAUUCUCAAGCAUUUAUUUAUUUUUUUUGGUAGAGACCAGGUCUCACUCUGCUUCCCAGCCUGUAGGGCAGUGGCAUGAUCCUAGCUCACUAUAACCUUGAACUCCUGGGCUCAAACAAUCCCUGCUGUCUCAGCCUCCUGAACAGCUUGGACUAUAGGUGCACGACACCAUGCCCGGCUAAUUUUUUUAUUUUUAUUAUUGUAGAGAUAGGGUCUUGUUAUGUUUCCCAGGCUUGUCAUUUUAUGUAUUGUCUUGAAUAAUAAAAGAAACUUGGACAGAGAAUAGCAGGUAGCAAAUUUUCAGAUGUAGAUUUAGGAUAAUACAAAAUUUUAUAAUGUGAAGUACCUCAGUACCAAAAUCUUAGCUAUUUAUAAUAUGAUAGCCCUUGAUGUAGAGCUAACUUAAAUUCAACAUUUCCAUGACUAAAUAAUUUGUGGGCUCUAAAAUAUUCUCAAAAUUCCUAGAGUUAGCAUUUCUUAAUUGAUUUCUUUAGCCUUUUUCACAUUCAACUAUAUUAUAAAUACAAAAUGAAUCCAUUAACA